AUUGAACGCUGGCGGCAGGCCUAACACAUGCAAGUCGAGCGAGAGGCGGACGGGGGAGUAAUGUAUGGGGACUGCCCGAUAGAGGGGGAUCACUACUGGACACGGUAGCUAAUACCGCAUACUAUCGGAUAACCCAUAUGGGAUUAGCUAGUGGGUGAGGUAAUGGCUCACCUAGGCGACGAUCCCUAGCUGGUCUGAGAGGAUGAUCAGCCACACUGGGGCUGAGACACGGCCCAGACGCCAAGGGAGGCAGCAGUGGGGAAUAUUGCGCAAUGGGCGCAAGCCUGAUCCAGCCAUGCCGCGUGUAUGAAGAAGGUGCUAGGGUUGUAAAGUACUUUCAGUCGGGAAGCGUUACCGACAGAAGAAGCACCGGCUAACUCCGUGCCAGCAGCCGCGGUAAUAC
rnacentral:rRNA from 1 species